rnacentral:tRNA from 151 species
UGGGGCGUAGCCAAGCGGUAAGGCAACGGGUUUUGAUCCCGCUAUUCGGAGGUUCGAAUCCUUCCGUCCCAG